UGGUGAGCUGUGAACAAAGUGUUUAGAAACAAGCACAAGCGUAGAUAGAUCAAAGAGUAACCUUACUAGCUAAAGUACCACUAUAGUUGAUGAAUAAAUAUAACUGUUAAAAGUAAAUUACCGAGGAAACAGCGACGACUUCACUCCAUACACUAAUCUGCACAGCGACACCGCCUAUUUCCCUUAGCACGCAUGCGUAAAUAACCUACAUUGUCUGGACAGCGAGCGGUCGUCUCUCGAGCGUGAUCUCAUGAGGCUCAUGAGAAAAGAUCAAGAGCUUCAUGAGGCAAGAUCAGGAGGCUCAUGAGAAAAGUCAGGGUCGAGGCUCAUGAAAAAAGAACGGGAUCGAGUUAUCUGCAGAUUCUUCUUGUUCGAGAUCGUGCACUCAAGUAAUGACAUUGACAAAGAGAAUGACUCUGCAUGAUGUUGACAGCAUGCAGGCUUAUACAGGGAAAUGCUACCAGGAAAACACACGUAUUGGAAUUACUAGUUGAAGAAGAAAUCUGUGAUGCCUAUUCCUAUUUGUGCAUAUAUGUCAUAAGCAUGCAUGCAGUGCAAUCAACAACUACAAAAACACCUGCUAUUUUUGCUUACAACUUACUAAAUUACUAG